CAAAGAAAGCUUCAAUUUCUUCCUUUGACAGUUUAAUUAAAUUAGUUAGGUUAUAAUCAACAAAUAUCGCGAAAAAGAAACGAUUCUACUUAAGAAAAUGGAAAUAUUAUUGAGUUAAAAUCAUGUGGGGAACGAUUACGCCACAAUAAAUCGUUAAAAAUAGGCGAACUUGUGACAUCAAGAUCAUUCAGUUUAUUUAUUGAUGGCGCCACCAAAGGAAGCUUCAAUUUCUUCCUUUGACAGUUUAAAUAAAUUAGUUAGGUUAUAAUCAACAAAUAUCGCGAAAAAUAAACGAUUCUACGUAAGAAAAUGGAAAUAUUAUUGAGUUAAGAUCAUGCGGGGAACGAUUACGCGACAAUAAAUCGUUAAAAAUAGGUGAACUUGUGACAUCAAGAUCAUUCAGUUUAUUUAUUGGUAAGAUUUUCUUUCAUUGUUUUUUUAAUAACUCAUACACGUAAGAUUAAUAAAACUAGAGUGUAGGAAGGUGUUAAUUCACAUACGAUUCCAGUUUUGACUUGACUUAUCUAAAAUUAAGUUUUUAAGUUAUAAUUGGCAAAGAUACAAACCAUAAUAAUUUAUUUGUAUUUCAAAAGAUGGCGCCACCAAAGAAAGCUUCAAUUUCUUCCUUUGACAGUUUAAAUAAAUUAGUUAGGUUGUAAUCAACAAAUACCGCGUAAAAGAAACGAUUCUACUUAAAAAAAUGGAAAUAUUAUUGAGUUAAGGUCAUGUGGGGAACAAUUAUGCGAUAAUAAAUCGUUAAAAAUAGGCGAACUUGUGACAUCAAGAUCAUUCAGUUUAUUUAUUGGUUAUUAUUGGAAAAAAUGUAAACCAUAAUAAUUUAUUAAUAUAUCAAAAGAUGGCGCCACAGAGAAAACUCUUCAAAUUCUUCAUUUGACAAAUUAGAUAAAUUAAUUAGAUUAUAAUCAACAAAUAUCGGUAAAAAAACGAUUCCACGGAAGAAAAUGGAAAUAUUGAUGUCUGUCAAGAUUAGCCAUUCUAAGUCCUAUAAAAUUUGGAAUUCUGAAGAUUCAAAAUGGUCUAGAGUGAAAACAAGAAGAAAAUAUAAAAUUAUAAAGGAAACCUUGUUACUUUUGGAAUCAUAAAUAUUUCCAUAACAAUCUCUAAA